AUCUUUAUAGUUUAUAUAAAACAUUACACUGAAAAUGUAAAAAAAAUUUUUUUUAAAGGUA
rnacentral:tRNA from 1 species